rnacentral:rRNA from 1 species
GACAGAGGGUGCAAACGUUGCUCGGAAUUACUGGGCGUAAAGCGCGUGUAGGCGGGAAGAUAAGUCGGGUGUGAAAUCCCUGGGCUCAACCUAGGAACUGCAUUCGAAACUGUCUUUCUGGAGUGAUGGAGAGGAAAGCGGAAUUCCCGGUGUAGAGGUGAAAUGCGUAGAGAUCGGGAGGAAGGCCGGUGGCGAAGGCGGCGCUCUGGAACAUUUCUGACGCUGAGGCUCGAAAGCGUGGGGAGCAAACAGG